rnacentral:tRNA from 1 species
UGGGUUGUAGCUCAGUGGUAGAGCGCCUGCCUCGCUUGCAUGAGGCCCUGGGUUCGAUCCCAGCACCACAU